GCCGAUAUAGCUCAGUUGGUAGAGCAGUGCAUUCGUAAUGCGAAGGUCGUAGGUUCGACUCCUAUUAUCGGCACCA
rnacentral:tRNA from 1 species